rnacentral:rRNA from 1 species
UAGGCUCGAAAUGCUGUGGACCAGCUUAUGAAAGUAGGCCUUCCCGCAAGGGACCAUAGUAUAGGUGCUGCAUGGCUGUCGUCAGCUCGUGUCGUGAGAUGUUGGGUUAAGUCCCGCAACGAGCGCAACCCUUGUCCUGUGUUGCCAUUUAUGGAACUCGCAGGAGACCGCCAGGGAUAACCUGGAGGAAGGUGGGGAUGACGUCAAGUCCUCAUGGCCUUUAUGUCUAGGGCUACACACGUGCUACAAUGGACGGUACAAAGGGCUGCCAACCCGCGAGGGGGAGCCAAUCCCAAAAAACCGUUCUCAGUUCGGAUUGCAGGCUGCAACUCGCCUGCAUGAAGCUGGAAUCGCUAGUAAUGGCGGAUCAGAACGCCGCCGUGAAUACGUUCCCGGGCC